GACGAACGCUGGCGGCGUGCUUAACACAUGCAAGUCGAACGGAAAGGCCCUGCUUUUGUGGGGUGCUCGAGUGGCGAACGGGUGAGUAACACGUGAGUAACCUGCCCUUGCCUUUGGGAUAACUUCAGGAAACUGGGGCUAAUACCGGAUAGGACCUCCUGCUGCAUGGUGGGGGUUGGAAGGUUUCGGCGGUUGGGGAUGGACUCGCGGCUUAUCAGCUUGUUGGUGGGGUAGUGGCUUACCAAGGCUUUGACGGGUAGCCGGCCUGAGAGGGUGACCGGCCACAUUGGGACUGAGAUACGGCCCAGACUCCUACGGGAGGCAGCAGUGGGGAAUAUUGCACAAUGGGCGGAAGCCUGAUGCAGCAACGCCGCGUGCGGGAUGACGGCCUUCGGGUUGUAAACCGCUUUCGCCUGUGACGAAGCGUGAGUGACGGUAAUGGGUAAAGAAGCACCGGCUAACUACGUG
rnacentral:rRNA from 1 species